rnacentral:rRNA from 1 species
AUUGAACGCUGGCGGCAGGCCUAACACAUGCAAGUCGAGCGGAUGAAGGGAGCUUGCUCCUGGAUUCAGCGGCGGACGGGUGAGUAAUGCCUAGGAAUCUGCCUGGUAGUGGGGGAUAACGUCCGGAAACGGGCGCUAAUACCGCAUACGUCCUGAGGGAGAAAGUGGGGGAUCUUCGGACCUCACGCUAUCAGAUGAGCCUAGGUCGGAUUAGCUAGUUGGUGGGGUAAAGGCCUACCAAGGCGACGAUCCGUAACUGGUCUGAGAGGAUGAUCAGUCACAGGGGAACUGAGACACGGCCCAGCCUCAGCGGGGGGGCGCCGGGGGGGAAUAUUGAAAAAGGGGGGAAGCUUGGACCACGCCGGGCGGUGUGUGGAAAGAGGGUCUUCGAAUGUAAAAGCCUUUAAAGUGGGGAGAAAGGAAAUUAAUUAAAUCCCUUCUUUUUUUGACUUACCCAACAAAAAAGACCCCGGCAAACUCCGGC